CAAGGAGACUUGCCUUCCUCCUCUUGCUUCCUUCCCGCAACUGCAAAUCAGCUCUCUCUCCCGUCGGCGUCAAGAGGCCAGCCGUUGCUCCUCCAUUUUUCAUCCUCCGCCGGGAGCUCCGGGCGACGCCUCUCGGUCGGCCGGCCGGCGCCGCGACGGUUCAGCUCAGCCCGUCCCCGCGCGCGGAGAUCGACGCCUCGACCGCGACGUCCUCCACUUCAAUGAACUAGGCCCCUUCCUCGGGCUCUCGCGCCAUGCCCCCGUCUCCCAAGUUCUUCCACCAGAGCCGCCCCUCGCCGCGCAGAUCUACGGUCCUGAUCUUGGGCUGCUGCCUCCUGAUCGGGCUCUCCGGGUUCGUGUUCGGCCUCAUCGCCAUCCUCAGGCCGGGCAAGUGCUCCGUCCACGAGCCCCGAUCGGUUCGGAUCGUCUGGGAGAGAGAGGACGGCGCCGGGGACGGCUUGAAUUCUGCCGGGGAUGGAGUUCGGCGUACUGACCGUCAUAAAGUGAUGGGCUUUGUGGGGAUUCAGACCGGUUUCGGAUCGGCCGGUCGCCGGAGAUCCCUGCGCCAGACUUGGAUGCCGUCCGAUCGGCAAGGGCUCCAACGGUUGGAGGAAGCCACUGGUUUGGCAUUCAGGUUUGUGAUUGGCAAAACUAAAGAUCGGUCGAAGAUGGCGGAGCUUAAGAGGGAAGUGUCAGAGUAUGAUGACUUCUUGUUACUGGACAUUGAAGAGGAAUACAGUAUGCUUCCUUAUAAAACGCUAGCUUUCUUUAAAGCUGCAUAUGCACUUUAUGAUUCUGAGUUCUAUGUCAAAGCCGACGAUGACAUAUAUCUAAGACCUGAUCGGCUUUCAUUGCUCUUGGCAAAAGAACGGAGUCAUACGCAAACUUACAUUGGGUGCAUGAAAAAGGGGCAAGUUUUCACUAACCCACAGCUUAAAUGGUAUGAGCCGUUGCACCAUUUGCUUGGCAGCGAGUACUUCCUCCAUGCAUAUGGUCCAUUAUACAUUCUUUCAGCUGAUGUGGUUGCGAGCUUGGUUGCUCUUCGAAACAAUAGUUUCCGGAUGUUCAGCAAUGAGGAUGUUACGAUUGGGUCAUGGAUGCUUGCCAUGAAUGUCAAUCAUGAGAACAAUCAAUUGCUUUGUGCAUCAGAUUGCACUCCAUCCUUUAUUGCUGUUUGGGAUAUUCCAAAGUGUUCAGGGCUCUGUGAUCCAGAAAAGCGGUUGGUGGAACUUCAUCAGAAGGAAAGCUGCUCAAGAAGCCCUACUAUGCCAGCUGACGACGAUUAGUUUCCCUUGUUCCAUUUUCCCAGAUUCCCUAAUAUAAAUAGCAAGGUUCUUCAGCGGCUCACUUGUGAAUCGGUAUCGUUGCCUCCACAUGUUGUAUAAUUUGUGGAUCCUCAUUAUAUUCAUUUCCUUUUUUCCUUUUACUAGUGUAGAAAGUUCAACAGAACAUCGAUACCUAGUGGUCACUAGACAGACACCUCCAGAAAUAGAAAACGCCAAGGAGCAGUACUUAUGUCUCCAAGUGAAGGGCGUGUCCGAAGCUGCUCCCUGUAGGAGCUCUCUCCAAGUUUCCUCUAUCUGGCUAAAUAAUUAGACGAGUUCGCUUCAUAUUAUGUAUCUUUUCCGAAAGAGCUUGAUUGUUUAUAAAGAAGAGAAAAACUCAAGGCAGGAGGAUUAGUGGUGAUUAUGUAGGCAUUUGGCAAGAUUGGCUUGUCUGCACCAGUGCGAAGUUUUGUUUGAUUUGAACGAUAUUAGCGAGGCGCCGCACUCGGGUCUAACGAUUCUUUCAUUGGCAGAGCAGGAGCAGACCUGCUUCCAUUAGCACUA